rnacentral:rRNA from 1 species
AUUGAACGCUGGCGGAAUGCUUUACACAUGCAAGUCGAACGGUAGAGGGGGCAACCCCUCGAGAGUGGCGAACGGGUGAGUAAUAUAUCGGAACGUGCCCAAUCGUGGGGGAUAACGUAGCGAAAGCUACGCUAAUACCGCAUACGAUCGGUGGAUGAAAGCGGGGGAUCGCAAGACCUCGCGCGAUUGGAGCGGCCGAUAUCAGAUUAGGUAGUUGGUGGGGUAAAGGCCCACCAAGCCUGCGAUCUGUAGCUGGUCUGAGAGGACGACCAGCCACACUGGAACUGAGACACGGUCCAGACUCCUACGGGAGGCAGCAGUGGGGAAUUUUGGACAAUGGGCGCAAGCCUGAUCCAGCAAUGCCGCGUGCAGGAUGAAGGCCUUCGGGUUGUAAACUGCUUUUGUACGGAACGAAACGGCUUUUUCUAAUACAGAGAGCUAAUGACGGUACCGUAAGAAUAAGCACCGGCUAACUACGUGCCAGCAGCCGCGGUAA